GAUGAACGCUGGCGGCGUGCUUAACACAUGCAAGUCGAACGGAAAGGCACUGCUUUUUUGGCGUGCUCGAGUGGCGAACGGGUGAGUAAGACGUGCGUAACCUGCCCUUGCCUUUGGGAUAACUUCAGGAAACUGGGGCUAAUAACUGAUAGAAGUUCCUUCUGCCUGGUGUGGGUUGGAAAGGUUCGGCGGUUGGGGAUGGAAUCGCGGCUUAGCAGCUUGUUGGUGGGGUGGUGGCUUAGCAAGGCUGUGGCGGGUAGCCGGCCGUAGAGGGUGACCGGCCACAGAGGGAGUGAGGUACGGCCCAGACUCCAACGGUGGGCAGUAGUGGGGAAUGGGGCACAGUGGGAGGAAGCGAGAUGCAGUAACGCCGCGUGCGGGAUGACGGCUUUCGGGUUGUAAACCGCUUCCGCCUGUGACGGAGCGUGAGUGGAGGGAAUGGGUAAAGAAGCACCGGCUAACUACGUG
rnacentral:rRNA from 1 species